UACGUAGGGGGCAAGCGUUGUCCGGAUUUAUUGGGCGUAAAGAGCGUGUAGGCGGUUAGGUAGGUCCGUUGUGAAAACUCGAGGCUCAACCUCGAGACGCCGAUGGAAACCAUCUAACUAGAGUCCGGAAGAGGAGAAUGGAAUUCCUGGUGUAGCGGUGAAAUGCGCAGAUAUCAGGAAGAACACCCGUGGCUAAGGCGGCUAGCUGGCCUGUAACUGACGCUGAGGCGCGAAGGCUAGGGGAGCGAACAGG
rnacentral:rRNA from 1 species